rnacentral:ncRNA from 1 species
UCUUAUCAAGAGCAGGUGGAGGGAAAUGGCCCGAUGAAGCCCAGCAACCGACCGUAAUUCCAUCGCGAGAUGGGGCCCUGUAAGGGGCCGUGGAACAACCACGAAGGCACGGUGCUAAUUCCAGCAAAACGAAUGUUUUGCAAGAUAAGA